rnacentral:lncRNA from 1 species
UGAUAUACUAGAUGAGUUAACGAUUUUGAUUCUAAUGCAGCUUUACUUUACAUUGCAACUAAGAAACAAGAAUAUUUCAUGAGAUGUACAGUUAAAAUUGUGCCAUGCGAAAAGAACAAAGACAAGAUUAGACAUAAAAACCCCACGAUGGCAAAUAUGUACAUCGGCUGAUAUCUCCAAAUUGUGAAAAAGUCACCUUCGAUCUUAUGGUAUCUUGAAAAAUCACUCAACAUGGGUGUGUUAGCCAUGAACUUAAUUAAAGAAAAUAUCGCCUUCAAUCACCUCUUGUGCAAUUGUAUGUAGCCAAGGCAAUAUGUUUCACUCUAUAAACUUCCAGAGUCCACUUUUUCCCCUUCUACGUUUAUACCUGCUGAAAUUAACUCCCUUCUCUUUCUGCUAAUGCGGCUUGUGGGUAGGAAAGUGCUAACAUUUUCUGUUUCACCAUGUAUAACUACAACUUAUGCCUGCACCCUUGACUCGACAUGUAUGUAUUGCAAACUGACAUGAUCUUUAUGAUAUAUCUCCUCUCUCUACAACUUUCAAACUCAAGAGUCAAGAAGAAACAUAAUGAAAAUACUGGCUUCAAUCAGAGCCCUGAACAAGUUCCACCAAGGUAAUUAUGAACCUGCCAAUUUUGAAAGAUUGAAACUUCAAGAGAAGGGGAUUAUGUAGGAUAUGUUAUAUUUACAGGAAACUUUUGUCCUAAAAAAUGAUUCAAAAUUACUUAGCAGAAAGAUAUACUCUUUACAUCAAAGCAAUAUACAAAAGUAGAAUUUAGUAUAAAUUUCAAAACAAUAUAAAGUGACGAAACACUUAUGGAAUAAGAAAAAUGUGACAUUAUAAACAGAUUGCUUUACGCUGGAGCAUCAAUACCUUUUUAUGUUAAGAAAGCUAAAUAUGUGAAGCAAGAAAUUUUGAUCCAUUCUUAUAUAUACCAAACAUCAUUAGGUAAACAUAAAAUUAUCAAAAGGACUAAGCCUCACAAAGAGCCUUUUUGAUCAAAGAAAGAUAUGUUUGCAGAUAUAAAUAUACAUUCUUUUAGCACAAACAAAAUACCACAUUGCAAUAGGUACUCUAAUAGUUGGAGUAAAGUGGACUAUAUAUAUAUAUAUAUAUAUAUAUAUAUAUAUAUAUAUAUAUAUAGUACUAGUAGUAGUAGUAGUAGUAGUNNNNNNNNNNNNNNNNNNNNNNNNNNNNNNNNNNNNNNNNNNNNNNNNNNNNNNNNNNNNNNNNNNNNNNNNNNNNNNNNNNNNNNNNNNNNNNNNNNNNNNNNNNNNNNNNNNNNNNNNNNNNNNNNNNNNNNNNNNNNNNNNNNNNNNNNNNNNNNNNNNNNNNNNNNAGAUGGUUUUAUCCUGUGUACUGAGUUGAUGCCGUAUUAUUGCUUUGAAAAUUCAUUUACUGACUGAGAAAAGAAAGAUCCGUAUGUUCCUUUGACAUUAUUAAUCUUCUCUUUCCAAAAUACUAUUUUUCCUGUUCCAUUCAUUCAUUUAAUUUCUUUGUACUUGCUUACGUUUUUGGACCAAAAAGAUAGUAAUCAUGCGAGAAGAAGGUAGAUGAGAAGAGAAUAAGAUAGUUGAAGAAGGAUUGAAGAAGCUUGAUACCCAUACUCCACCUUAUAAUGGUAAUGGAUACUGAGUUUGGGUCGUUUUCUUCCUUUCUGUCUUUUUAUUUUUCCAAUGGCCCAUUAGAGGCUUCUCUUCCUUUUCGUUUAAUCUCCUUGGAAUUUUUAAAUAUCUUAAUUUAUCAAUUUUCUUGAAAUAGUGAUAUGAAUAAAUUGGUUGAAAAAAUAAAGAAUAGAAUUCAAGAAGCAAAAGAGCUUUAUGUAAUAGCUUGCAAUUGAUCUUUCACCUUCUUUCCAGGCUUCUAGCUCAGAAUUGGAUGACAUUCGAUUCAAAACUAUAAAUGCAGAACUGAACUUUAAAAUCAAGGAGAAAGAAGAAAAUGAGAUAAAAUAGUAAGACUCACCAAUCAGAAGUGGUAGAACACCAUAAAUCUCUAAGCGAGGGUAGCGGCAAAGAACUGCAACAAUAGCCCAGUCCCAGGAGCAACUAUAUUGCCAUAGAGGGAAAAGCGUGUAUUAAAGGAUAAAAAAAUGUGUAUCUCCAUAGCGUCCUACUCUAACUGGAGGGGGAAAAAGAAGCACAGAGAUGCUAAAACCCAGGCAAAGUGGAAGACGAUGAAUGGAAAAGCUCUAGAAGAUUUUAGAGCCACAAAGAAAGCAAAAUAGAGGAGGGGUACGUGGCAAUUCUGCUUAGGGUAAAAGACGGAACCCCGUAAAAGACACCGCAUACUAACUAAAGUAAAGAUUAGAAAAGUUCAAUAUGCCCUUAGUCGACCAUCUUAGCUUUUCUAUGUAUACCUAUCUUCGUAGCAAACAAAGAUUCUAAUCUUCAACUAAGAUUGUUCGCUAUUAACCACAUGAUCUAACUGAAAAAGAAAUGGAGAAGCAACUCACUAAAUAUUUGUGAAGCAUGUUCCCCGGAAAGGGACAAUGUUGUGUUAAGUUCACCACCAACAGAUGUCACACACAUGCCUAAAAUGCAACACAAACCAACAUAACCGGAAGCACAUAUUAAUAUUCUAUCUUCUGAGAAUUAAGCUCUUGGGUUCCUAUAUCUUUUUUCAUAAUUGAAAGCCACUAUAUCAGUGUAAUUCUUCCGUGGAACAAUGAUCAAUGAUCUAAUUAUAUUAAUAAACCGUGUACUUCUAAAUGAGUUUGGAGAAAUAUUAAGAAAGUAGUAGGAGGGUCUUCAUCUUCACUAUAAAGAUGAUCCACCAGAAUUUAGUAAAAAGGAACUUCUUUUUACAACAAUCCAGUAAAAAGAAAAUUGGAAUAGAAAUCCAAUAAGCUUCUGGAUGUUUUUUAUCACUAAAGCAGAAGAAACAAAAAAAGGGAGCAAUGCACAAGCAUUCCCUGAACAGACGGCGAAAGGCAAAGAAAAAAGGUAAUUUGCAUUACUGUAAAAUUCCAUCUAAGCACAAUCUACUCGUGUUAAUUUAUCCGUAAGAAUUGAUCUGAAAUAUAGAAUCAAUACUAUUCCAAAUUCCUCGAAUUAGAGCACUAUGCCAAAUAUAUGAUUAUAAUAUUGAGAAAUUUCAAGUAAAACAACCUCAAAGACAUUCAAGAAGCAGGUAUACUAAAAUAAAGAAUCCUCUAAAAAGAAUAUUACCUCUGUACAUAUCAUAAAAUAUGUUCCUAGAGGUUGAACAUUUAAAGAGCAGCAAAUACAUGGAAAAAGAGCACCAUUGUUGUCGGCGAAGAACUCCAAGUUAUGCUCUAAGCUCUUCUACUCACGCCUAACUCUCCAACAAAAAAGGUCAAAUCAGACAGGAAAAUAAAUUCCUCAUACAGAUUAACCGGAAAAAAAAGAACAAGAUUUGGACAAAAAUUAAAAGAGGAGGUGACGUGAAAAUUACAAUACCCGAUUGAGAAGAUGAAGAGAACUGGAAAGGGCAUUAUCUGAGAAGUCUGGAGAACUUGAACAAACAAGGAAAUAAAAGAAGGUGAAGCAAUUGAUCUUCCUACAGGUUUGAAAGAAAAUCAUACUUCCUCAGUUUUAAUUCCGUUUUAAUAAUUUGUGGUCCCGAACAAGUAAAAAGUAAAGUAUUUGUGUGGUUAUAAAAGCUUCUCAUUAGGAUAGAAUUGUAAGUUUAAGCUAAAUUGUUUCUAAAUUAUUUCCAAAUUUAGAAAUAAAUUAUUCUUUUUAAAUCGAACCAAAAAAAAAUAAGUUCACAGCGGACGGAGAACGGAGGGAGUACAGCAAUUGGAAUAGGGACGGAAGAAGGGAG